rnacentral:lncRNA from 1 species
GGUUGCACUGUCUACCUCUAUUGUGAGAUUUAUUCAUGUAGGGUGCUGUUAUGUGGAGAGAUUAGUUAAUAGGUGAUGGCAAUUGGUGAUUGGAUUAUAAUAUAUAUUUCCUGUGCAAGAAUUGUCCAUGGUACAAGUUCCUUUUUUUUUUUUUAUUUAGUUACUUGUGUGAUAAGCAGAUUAAGAUUAUUUCAUGAAUUGAUUUCUUUUCUUAUAGAUCCAAUAUAGUCUUGUUUUGAAUUUCAAAGUUCUUGUGAUGUAAUGUUAGUUAGCCCCAUUUUUGAAUGGUUAGUUGGCGCUUGGUGGAUUAUAUACCUGAUAACGAUUUGCUUUUUUAAGUUUUUAUGAAUGGUUCCUGAUUUGUACAGAAGUUAUUAAUCCCAUUGAAGAUGAGAGAGUAUCAAGGGCAUCUAUAAUUUGGAAAGAAUGGUAAUCUUUGACCGUUACCUUUACCUGCGAAGAUAGUUCCUUGCGAUUUCUUUCUUCAUCUUUCAAGUCCCUAUAACUUAUUUGUUUCCUACUAAGAUGUCAGAAGGCAUAACGAGUAAGUAUAUAACUAAAACCUCAGUGUGACUCGGGGACUGUAUCAUGAAAUUAAUUUAUUCUCGAUUGUUUUAUUUUUUUGAAAAUUAUUGCAGAUUUUUUAUGCAGCAGCAAGAAGUCUACGUGCAAUUUGUGACUGGG